UACAUGGGGUGCAAACGUUGCUCGGAAUUAUUGGGCGUAAAGCGCACGUAGGCGGAUACUUAAGUCAGGGGUGAAAUCCCGGGGCUCAACCCCGGAACUGCCUUUGAUACUGGGUAUCUCGAGUCCGGAAGAGGUGAGUGGAAUUCCGAGUGUAGAGGUGAAAUUCGUAGAUAUUCGGAGGAACACCAGUGGCGAAGGCGGCUCACUGGUCCGGUACUGACGCUGAGGUGCGAAAGCGUGGGGAGCAAACAGG
rnacentral:rRNA from 1 species